CAGAGGGGGACUGAGACACGGCCCCCACUCCUACGGGAGGCAGCAGCUAAGAAUAUUGCACAAUGGACGAAAGUCUGAUGCAGCGACACCGCGUGAGGGAUGAAGGUUUUAGGAUUGUAAACCUCUUUUAUUAGGGAAUAGCAAGGAAGGUACCUAAUGAAUAAGCUACGGCUAACUACGUGCCAGCAGCCGCGGUAAUACGUAGGUAGCGAACGUUGUCCGGAAUCACUGGGCGUAAAGGGUCCGUAGGCGGUUUGAUAAGUCUCAUAUGAAAACUUCAAGCUCAACUUGGAGAGGUUGUGAGAUACUGUCAAACUAGAGACUGUUAGAGGUAAGUGGAAUUCCAGGUGUAGUGGUGAAAUGCGUAGAUAUCUGGAGGAACACCAGUGGCGAAAGCGACUUACUGGGACAGUUCUGACGCUAAGGGACGAAAGCGUGGGGAGCGAACCGGAUUAGAUACCCGGGUAGUCCACGCCGUAAACGAUGAUUGCUAGGUUUUCGGGGCAUCGACCCCUCGUGAGCCGAAGUUAACGCGUUAAGCAAUCCGCCUGAGUAGUACGGCCGCAAGGCUAAAACUCAAAGAAAUUGACGGGGGACCGCACAAGCAGCGGAGCGUGUGGUUUAAUUCGAUGGUAAGCGAAGAACCUUACCAGGGUUUGACAUGUAAGUAGUACUGAACCGAAAGGGAAUGGACCCGCAAGGGAGCUUACACAGGUGUUGCAUGGUUGUCGUCAGCUCGUGCCGUGAGGUGUUGGGUUAAGUCCCGCAACGAGCGCAACCCUCUUUGUUAGUUGCACUCUCUAACGAUACUGCCCUUAAAAGGGAGGAAGGUGGGGAUGACGUCAAAUCAUCAUGGCUCUUACACCCUGGGCUACACACACGCUACAAUGGCAAGUACAGACGGUUGCCAACCCGCGAGGGGGAGCUAAUCCGAUAAAACUUGUCUCAGUUGGGAUUAUAGGCUGAAAUUCGCCUAUAUGAACGUGGAGUUGCUAGUAAACGCAGGUCAGCACACUGCGUUGAAUACGUUCCCGGUCCUUGUACACACCGCCCGUCACGUCAUGGAAGUUUGUAACACUUGAAGUCGUUGCGCUAACCCUUUGGGAGGCAGACGCCGAAAGUGGGAUGGAUGACUGGGACGAAGUCGUAACAAGGUAGCUGUACCGGAAGGUGCGGCUG
rnacentral:rRNA from 1 species